UUCUUUAUACAUUAACACCCAACACUAUUCACUCCAGGCAACUUAAAAUUUGAUAACUUUCGCCGGAGCUCCCUAAACGUCCGUUUGAGCUCAAACUUGACAGUCAUAUUCGGUUUUACGUACUGAGCAAGAAUAUAUUUUAAUUUUCUAGUUUCGACCUCAUUUGGUCACCGAAAACUGUACCGAACUGUAAUCUUUAUCAGAUAGCUGUCGGAUUUUAUUUCUCACUCUACGGGUGUCAGAAAAAUAUGAAACUUUAAAUCUAGCCUCAUAAAAAUAUUUCUGACUUAUCCUCCAAUUUUCAUAAUUUUCUGAGACUGUACAUUUUCUGCUAAUUUAUCUGUCCCGUUUCCAACAGAAAAUUCUAGAUCUUCUGUUUUCAUUCCGAUUUCAGCACAAGUCACUUCUGACUUAUGUUUUACUUCUAUAAAUCCAAUAAAAAUAGUUUCUCACACUAUUUUUAUUUAUUUUUAUUUUUAUACCAAAAUCUGGUAUGUUACAUUUUGGAACCCUAACUCUAGCUUCAAUCCACUAACAAUGGUGCUAGGGGUCCAUUUGACCCCAUUUUCAAAGCUCAAAACCCAAAAACUCUAAGUUUCAUAAGCUAGGGUUAGAAGCUUACCUCUAGGUUAGCUCCAAGAGAGAAGAGAGGAAGAGGGAGAGGUCCAAAAGCCUUCCUAGUUUGAUCUCCUUCUUUUUCUCCUUCCUUUUCUUCCUUCUUUUCCUUCUCUUUUCUUCUUCUUCUUCUUUUCCUUCUCUUUUCUUUCUAGAGAGAGAGAGAGCAAGAGAGUGUGAGGGAGGGAGAGAGUGGACUGAGAGAGUGAGAGAGAGAGGGACUAAUAAGCUCUCUAAUGUAACAAUAUCCAGUUGGCCCCCUCUACUUUUCACUCUGUGCACUGCCCUUACUGGGCUGUCUGCGCGCGGAGGGACCGGUCUCCCCGACUUGGGACCGGUCCCCGAGAGCUUCAGCUCGGGUCACGCGUUCGGGUACCGGUCUCUCCCAGAGAGACC
rnacentral:lncRNA from 1 species